GCUCUUCUUUGCCUCUGCUGGAGUCCGGGGAGUGGCGUUGGCUGCUAGAGCGAUGCCGGGCCGGAGUUGCGUCGCCUUAGUCCUCCUGGCUGCCGCCGUCAGCUGUGCCGUCGCGCAGCACGCGCCGCCGGUGAGACUGCAGAAAAUCAACCUAUCCUCCUUCAGGACCAACGUACAGAGGUGCAGUUCCAUGGUACACCAUAAAUCUUGACUUACCACCCUACAAAAGAUGGCAUGAAUUGAUGCUUGACAAGGCACCACUAAAGGUUAUAGUGAAUUCUCUGAAGAAUAUGAUAAAUACAUUCGUGCCAAGUGGAAAAAUUAUGCAGCCUGGCCUACUUGGCAACUUUCCUGGCCCUUUUGAAGAGGAAAUGAAGGGUAUUGCCGCUGUUACUGAUAUACCUUUAGGUAAAGUUCACUUAGAAGCUUUAAAAAAAAAAGUAAUUAAAUUCUUUUACAAGUUUCCAUUGAGGUGUGAUAUACAUACAGCACAGGUGCUGUAUGUCUUAGAUAUACAGCACAGGUGCACAGGUCUUAGAUAUACAGCUCAGUGAAGCUUCAGAAAUGCAUGCAUGCAUGUAGCCAUGACUCAGAUCAAGAUACGGAAGAGCCCAGCACUCCACGAUGCUCCAUCAUGCCCCUUUGCAGAAAAUACUGCCUCCUCCAGUAAACACUAUUCUGAUGUCACUAUAGAUUAGUUUUGCCUCUUCGUGAACUUUGUAUAAAUAGAACUGA
rnacentral:lncRNA from 1 species